AUCACAAUGCGGGACUAUCAGUCUUGCAAUUGGAUUGAGAACAAUGUACAACUCUUAUCGAUAAGCCAUUGGAGGGCAAGUCUGGUGCCAGCAGCCGCGGUAAUUCCAGCUCCAAUAGCGUAUAUUAACGUUGUUGCAGUUAAAAAGCUCGUAGUUGAAGUGUGGGUGAUCGCUGUUGUGAGACUUCGGUCUCUCGACAGUAAGUCACCCCCUUCCAGUAUCCAGUAGUGGGUAUUCAGUUACUUACUAUUGUGUGUUGGUCGUUUACUGUGAGAAAAUUAGAGUGUUCAAAGCAGGCGUUUGCUUGAAUAGAUUAGCAUGGAAUAAUAAUUGAAGGCUUUCGUGUUCGAUUUGAUUGGUUUGUUCAUGGAAGCAAGGUUAAAAGGAACAGUUGGGGGUAUUCAUAUUCACUAGUUAGAGGUGAAAUUCUCGGAUUUAUGGAAGAUGAAC
rnacentral:rRNA from 1 species